rnacentral:rRNA from 1 species
AAAUUGAAGAGUUUGAUCAUGGCUCAGAUUGAACGCUGGCGGCAGGCCUAACACAUGCAAGUCGAACGGUAACAGGAAGCAGCUUGCUGCUUCGCUGACGAGUGGCGGACGGGUGAGUAAUGUCUGGGAAACUGCCUGAUGGAGGGGGAUAACUACUGGAAACGGUAGCUAAUACCGCAUAACGUCGCAAGACCAAAGAGGGGGACCUUCGGGCCUCUUGCCAUCGGAUGUGCCCAGAUGGGAUUAGCUUGUUGGUGGGGUAACGGCUCACCAAGGCGACGAUCCCUAGCUGGUCUGAGAGGAUGACCAGCCACACUGGAACUGAGACACGGUCCAGACUCCUACGGAGGCAGCAGUGGGGAAUAUUGCACAAUGGGCGCAAGCCUGAUGCAGCCAUGCCGCGUGUAUGAAGAAGGCCUUCGGGUUGUAAAGUACUUUCAGCGGGGAGGAAGGGAGUAAAGUUAAUACCUUUGCUCAUUGACGUUACCCGCAGAAGAAGCACCGGCUAACUCCGUGCCAGCAGCCGCGGUAAUACGGAGGGUGCAAGCGUUAAUCGGAAUUACUGGGCGUAAAGCGCACGCAGGCGGUUUGUUAAGUCAGAUGUGAAAUCCCCGGGCUCAACCUGGGAACUGCAUCUGAUACUGGCAAGCUUGAGUCUCGUAGAGGGGGGUAGAAUUCCAGGUGUAGCGGUGAAAUGCGUAGAGAUCUGGAGGAAUACCGGUGGCGAAGGCGGCCCCCUGGACGAAGACUGACGCUCAGGUGCGAAAGCGUGGGGAGCAAACAGGAUUAGAUACCCUGGUAGUCCACGCCGUAAACGAUGUCGACUUGGAGGUUGUGCCCUUGAGGCGUGGCUUCCGGAGCUAACGCGUUAAGUCGACCGCCUGGGGAGUACGGCCGCAAGGUUAAAACUCAAAUGAAUUGACGGGGGCCCGCACAAGCGGUGGAGCAUGUGGUUUAAUUCGAUGCAACGCGAAGAACCUUACCUGGUCUUGACAUCCACAGAACUUUCCAGAGAUGGAUUGGUGCCUUCGGGAACUGUGAGACAGGUGCUGCAUGGCUGUCGUCAGCUCGUGUUGUGAAAUGUUGGGUUAAGUCCCGCAACGAGCGCAACCCUUAUCCUUUGUUGCCAGCGGUCCGGCCGGGAACUCAAAGGAGACUGCCAGUGAUAAACUGGAGGAAGGUGGGGAUGACGUCAAGUCAUCAUGGCCCUUACGACCAGGGCUACACACGUGCUACAAUGGCGCAUACAAAGAGAAGCGACCUCGCGAGAGCAAGCGGACCUCAUAAAGUGCGUCGUAGUCCGGAUUGGAGUCUGCAACUCGACUCCAUGAAGUCGGAAUCGCUAGUAAUCGUGGAUCAGAAUGCCACGGUGAAUACGUUCCCGGGCCUUGUACACACCGCCCGUCACACCAUGGGAGUGGGUUGCAAAAGAAGUAGGUAGCUUAACCUUCGGGAGGGCGCUUACCACUUUGUGAUUCAUGACUGGGGUGAAGUCGUAACAAGGUAACCGUAGGGGAACCUGCGGUUGGAUCACCUCCUUACCUUAAAGAAGC